rnacentral:rRNA from 1 species
UACAGAGGUCUCAAGCGUUGUUCGGAUUCAUUGGGCGUAAAGGGUGUGUAGGUGGCGCUGUAAAGUCGGGUGUGAAAUUUCGGAGCUUAACUCCGAAACUGCAUUCGAUACUGCGGUGCUUGAGGACUGGAGAGGAGACUGGAAUUCAUGGUGUAGCAGUGAAAUGCGUAGAGAUCAUGAGGAAGACCAGUGGCGAAGGCGGGUCUCUGGACAGUUCCUGACACUGAGACACGAAGGCCAGGGGAGCAAACGGG